CCUACGGGAGGCAGCAGUGAGGAAUAUUGGUCAAUGGACGAGAGUCUGAACCAGCCAAGUAGCGUGAAGGAUGACUGCCCUAUGGGUUGUAAACUUCUUUUAUAUGGGAAUAAAACGUUCCACGUGUGGGAUUUUGUAUGUACCAUAUGAAUAAGGAUCGGCUAACUCCGUGCCAGCAGCCGCGGUAAUACGGAGGAUCCGAGCGUUAUCCGGAUUUAUUGGGUUUAAAGGGAGCGUAGGUGGAUUGUUAAGUCAGUUGUGAAAGUUUGCGGCUCAACCGUAAAAUUGCAGUUGAAAAUAGCAGUCUUGAGUACAGUAGAGGUGGGCGGAAUUCGUGGUGUAGCGGUGAAAUGCUUAGAUAUCACGAAGAACUCCGAUUGCGAAGGCAGUUCACUGGACUGCAACUGACACUGAGGCUCGAAAGUGUGGGUAUCAAACAGGAUUAGAUACCCCUGUAGUC
rnacentral:rRNA from 1 species